AAUUGAUCCCUGUGGAUAACUUUUCCGGCGUGGAAGGGAGCAAGGAAAUUGGCGGAAUUGUUUCUAGGCGAGCCUGGAUGUUCUCGACAAAGGACUCAAUGGAAAGCCUUGCUCGGAGAGUGCGCAUAGUUGCUGGCAAAUGGGAGGCCUGGGGUGGAAGAGAAGGGAAAGAUGACAAAGAUGGGAGCUCCAUUGCCUGCCAGCCUGUUGGACUGGAAAACGGAGCCAACCCGCCGGCCGAAUGGUUCCCGCGCAGCCAAGGCCCAGGGCUGCGCCAGCCCAACAGUGAGGUGGAUGAUGGUAGUGAGAGGAACUUCAGGGUGAACCUUCACUGCAAACACGGGCGGCCCAGGUAAGGACGGAGGGAGGGGCAGGAAGUGGAAGAGGGCACGGGCCGAUAGGGAUGUCCAUCUUCCCCAUCUUGUGCCUGCAUUUAUUUAUUAUUUAUUUACAGUAUUUAUAUUCCGCCCUUCCUUCUCACCCCGAAGGGGACUCACAAUGCGCAUACAUAUACACGGCAAACAUUCAAUGCCGUUUUUAGGCAUACAACACAUACACAAACAGUAGAAGUAAUUCAACAUUUUCCAACUUUGGCGUCGGGAGGUUAUGCUUGAUUCCGGCCACAGGGGGAGCUCUCGCUUUGUCCACUAUAAGUCCUUUUUUGAUCGUAGUAUUUCCUCCUUGCUCUUUGAUCGCCGGCAUUUUUAUGGUCUUGCAAAGUAAAUUAACCUCCCUAAUUUCUCUACUCACCGCUUUUUUCAAACUGCUUAGGUGGACAGUAAGCUAGGCUAAUGGCAGCCGGGUGCUCAAUCCGACUCAGACUUCGAACUUGUAUUUCCUCCUUGCUCUUUGAUUGCCAGCAUUUUUAUGGUGUCGUAAAUUAAAUUAACCUCCCUAAUUUCUCUACUCACCGCUUUUUUCGAACUGCUUAGGUGGACAGUAAGCUAGGCUUUUGGCAGCUGGGUGCUCAAUCCGACUCAGGCUUCGAACUUGUAUUUCCUCCAUGCUCUUUAAUUGACGGCAUUUUUAGGGUGUCGUAAAUUAAAUUAACCUCCCUGCUUAAUUUCUCUACUCACCGCUUUUUUCGAACUGCUUAGGUGGACAGUAAGCUAGGCUAAUGGAAGCCGGGUGCUCAAUCCGACUCAGGCAUCGAACUUGUAUUUCCUCCUUGCUCUUUGAUCGCCGGCAUUUUUAUGGUGUCGUAAAUUAAAUUAACCUCCCUAAUUUCUCUACUCACCUCUUUUUUCGAACUGCUUAGGCGGACAGUAAGCUAGGCUAAUGGCAGCCGGGUGCUCAAUCCGACUCAGGCUUCGAACUUGUAUUUCCUCCAUGCUCUUUAAUUGACGGCAUUUUUAGGGUGUCGUAAAUUAAAUUAACCUCCCUGCUUAAUUUCUCUACUCACCGCUUUUUUCGAACUGCUUAGGUGGACAGUAAGCUAGGCUAAUGGAAGCCGGGUGCUCACUCCGGCUCAGGCUUCGAACAUGCUCCCUGGAUUCUUGUGGGUACUACUUGGCUGAUUUUCGUCUGACUUGCAGCUAACUUUCUAGGAAGGCAAGCAAAGGGUGCAGAACCGGAGGCUUGCUUUGCGAUUGUUAUGGAAGGCAGCAGUGGUUCCAUCCUUUCGCUUGACAGAAAGGAGGGAAUGCGGAAAGGGGAGAGAAGAGAGAAAGGCCUGCUCUCCCCCCCCCCCUCCCUCCUUCUCUUUCCUUCCUUCCCUGCUGCUCCCGAGGGUUCUCCGGAUCCCUGCUGUGCGCUGAGUCUUCCCUGACCCUUCUCACUCCACAUCUGGCCAAGAAUUGCCUGGAAACUGCAGCCGGGGAGGAGGAGGGACAGGCCUUCUCACAGGAACGGGUCCAGGCCGGGAGGGCAAGGAAGGAGAGCCAGCUCUGCCGCAGACACUGGAUCCGAUCCUCCCCAGCCUUGAUGGACCGUCUCAGGAAGUCUGGGAGCCGACCAGGGAUGGGGAGGGGGAGGAAAGGAACAGCCAGGGAAGGAACAUCUCAAAACGAAUCAGGAGCAUUGUGUUGUCGAAGGCUUUCAUGGCCAGAAUCACUAGGGUUUUGUGCAUUUUCCGGCUGUAUGGCCAUGUUCUGGAAGCAUUCUCUCCUGACAUUUCACCCACAUCUAUGGCAGGCAUCCUCAGGGUGUGAGGUCUGAUGGAAACUUGGCCAGCGUAUGUGUGUGUGUGUGUGUGUGUGUAUGUAUAUAUAUGUGUGUGUGUGUGUGUGUGUGUAUGUGUGUGUGUGUAUAUAUAUAUAUAUAAAGGUUCCCCCUGACGUUAAGUCCAGUCGUGUCUGACUCUGGGGGUUGGUGCUCAUCUCCAUUUCUAAGCCGAAGAGCCAGCGUUGUCCAUAGACACCUCCAAGGUCAUAUGGCCACUGGCAUGACUGCAUGGAGCGCUGUUACCUUCCCGCCGGAGCGGUACCUAUUGAUCUACUCACAUUUGUAUGUUUUCGAACUGCUAGUUUGGCAGGAGCUGGAGCUAACAGCGGACGCUCAAGCCGCUCCCGGGAUUUGAACCUGGGACCUUUCGGUCUGCAAGUUCAGCAGCUUAGUGCUUUAAUGCACUUCGCCACCGGGGCUCCUAUGCGCAUAUGUGUGUGUAUGUGUGUAUAUAUAUCUAUAUAUAUAAAAGAGUGAUGGCAUCACGGCGACCCACAAAACAACAAAACUACAGGCCCCCCAACCUUGAAAUUUGACAACACAACGCAUCAUCCACGCCUCUAGGUUGAUACAACAAAAAGAAAAGAAAAAUAAAGUCUUAUUUUGAGAGAGAGGAAUAAUUGCUUUUAUCCAAUUGCUGCCAGUUAGAAGGCUAAGCUCCUCCAACUUGGUCUCCUAGGAACCCAAUAAAAAAUAAUAAAAACACUAAAAUUUAUACAUAAAAUACUAUAUUAACAGAAAAUAACUAAAAAUAAUACAAGAAAAUAAUAAAAUAUAAUAAAUAAAAAUAUAAAUUACAAUAAAAUUAAUAAAAAAUUGCAAAUAAUGUCAAAUAAAAAUUACACAACAAUUUUUAACCAAUACCACCACCACUUUGCCACAGCAACGUGUGGCCGGGCACAGCUAGUGUAAUAUAAUCUAUAUAUAAAAAAGGGUAAUGGAAUCACGGCACCGGACAAAACAACUAAACUAAAUGCCCCACAACCUCGAAAAUUGACAGCACAACCUCUCAUCCACGCCUCUACGUUCAUACAACAAAAAGAAAAGAAAAAUAAAGUCCUAGCCACAGCAACGCGUGGCCGGGCACAGCUAGGUACAGUAGAAUCUCACUUAUCCAACAUUCGCUUAUCUAACAUUCUGGAUUAUCCAACGCAUUUUUGUAGUCAAU
ensembl:lncRNA